ensembl:lncRNA
AUGGUCAGUGCAAGACCCUUAUCAGACCUCAAUGAGAGUCCAGCACGAGCACAACUAGAAACGAAUCCUCUUGAGUUAUUCGAUUGCCGAGAGCUCAAUAAAUUGACGGAGUACACGGAAAUAAGAUUUGCUGAAGAAUCUUUACGGAUUUUUUGGUACUAUGCAAGUAUCCAAAUGCCAUUUGGACAUUCAGCCACCUGGAUCCGAAUGACACCUGUAGCCAGCCUUCAUGCUUACCGAACUCUAUGCCUACAGGGUUCACAGAAAUGGAUCUUUUUGUACGUGCCGUGGACCCCGUGAAAAGGGAUCUCUGAGUUUCUAGUGCCAUCAUCAUCCCCCAGCUCUUCCUCUCAUUCUCUGCAUCUCUUCAGCCAUAAUUUUAAUUGCUCCACCUGUACAUUAGUCUUCACUGGGAUUUCAGGAGCAUAAGCAGCCAUCAUCACUCAUCUCAUUACGACAACGCUGUUUGACGAUGGCACAGCUUUUGUAUGCCACUGUGGUUUUGGCCGGAGUCUGCCUGCUUCUGAGGCUCUGCGUUGGAGGUAAGGGUUCUUUCCUUCACACCUGUGUCUUUGCCUGUGUCGUACUUUUACAGUAGCUUUAGCUUAUAUUUAUAGUCUUUACAUAAAGUUUAUGAGUUUGCCUAGCCUAUUUGUGAUUUCUCUAUGCAAACUCUGUUCUGAGAGCUCAGCUCACAAGCAUUUCAAUAUUUAAUUCUGAAUGCGGAGUUCAAGUGAACACUGAAUGCACACAGACUAUUUUCAUACUGAAAGCUUAGAUAUUUAAAGAUGUUUAAUUGAAGAAAUCAAGAAAUAUAUUAUUACUGUUGUGUAGUAACAUAACAGUAAUCUAAAUUAUUACACAGUAUCACACAGAAUGGCUGUGACUUGUCUUGUGCCACAGGUAAUUUAAUUCCACAGAUAGAACUUCAACAAAAAAAUAAGAAUGUAGUGUUUUAUUUUAUGCUGUGAAGCUCUGUAUUGAAGCAAUUUGUAAAAAGUUUCUUAAUUGUUAUAUUUUCAUUUGAACUCAGUGAGGUACAGAUGGGAGGGGUGGGCGUUAUAUACUGGUAUGAAAGUCACUACCAGUAUUAUGUUGUUCCAUGAUAUGGAUUUUGGUAUACUGUGGAUACCGUUAUAUAUGUUUAUGAAUUCAAAUUUUGCAUUUAUAUUGUUUUGUUCAAUUUGGUACUCUUUGCAAAUUUGAACACAAAUGACGAUAAAGAGUCGAUGCUGAACGUUUUUGUCCUCUGUGUGCAACGCUGUACAACACAGGCAUUAGUAAUCAAACACAUAGAGCAUCGUAACAGACCAAAUUAAUAGAGCGCAAUUCGCUUACUCCUGUGGUCCAGCGAGAUAUUCGCCUCAAUCAAGUCUUCCACGCAAGUUCAAAAAUUUCAGUUAGAGCGGAAAAUUCACCUGACGCGCUCUCGCGCUAGCCAAUCAGUGAAGAGCUUAUUGGCACAUCUGGUUGAAUCAGAAAAUGGAGGAGCGCGUUAUUGUAGCUGUUUGCGGGCACCCCUAAAAUCUAUGAUACAACUUCACUGAGUUGUGUGCGCCUCUGUAUGGCGCUGUGAACCCAGACACGUCUGUGUUUGGCUUUCCUGCGUUUUGAUUUAUCCUCACCAUGGUUGUACUCACAGGAUGUUUUUCGCCUAAUCAAAUAAAAACAUAGCACGUGUGACGCA